rnacentral:rRNA from 1 species
UACGUAGGGUGCGAGCGUUGUCCGGAAUUAUUGGGCGUAAAGAGCUCGUAGGCGGUCCGUCACGUCGGCUGUGAAAACCUGGGGCUCAACCCCGGGCCUGCAGCCGAUACGGGCAAACUAGAAUUCGGUAGGGGAGACUGGAAUUCCUGGUGUAGCGGUGAAAUGCGCAGAUAUCAGGAGGAACACCGGUGGCGAAGGCGGGUCUCUGGGCCGAUAUUGACGCUGAGGAGCGAAAGCGUGGGGAGCGAACAGG